GGUAAGAUGGCUGAGGUUAAUAAGUAAUAGUUUGUAAAACUAUAGAGAAGUAUAAUACUUUUUUACCA
rnacentral:tRNA from 1 species